AAUAUGUAAUGGAGUCAAUUACAUGAAUAGGUUAAUCACUCUUUUCAAUUACAUCUUUUUGUUGCCAUCUGUUUCCUGCCACAUCUAAAUAUUUCUCUAGUGCUUUCAUGAGUCAAAUCUGCUAUUCACUGUGUUUUGAAUUCUUCCCAAAUGUUCCUCCCUCCCUCCCAAUUUCUUUCAUCUUUUCCUGGCCUUAGGUUCCCAUCUUUCUAUCUCUCAAAAGCUGGUUUUCUUCAGUGUGGAGUUAUGUUUAUAGAGUGUAUUUGUAAGUCCUGAAGGGUGAAUGAGGUAAUUGCUGAAACAUCGGCUAUGUUCUGGUCUCAAGGCUGUCGAAUGAGAUAGCACUAUGAGGACAGAGCCCCAUGAUCCCCUAAAGGAUACUUUAGAUACAACACCUGCUGUACCUCCCUGACAUUCCUUGAAACCAUAAGCACUCCCUUCAUGCCUUCAUGUAGCCACCAGAUGUAUGUCUGGUUAAUGUCUAAAGACCCUUUGUGCUCUCCUUCCUUGCUUUGAUGUUCUUUGAUACUUCUAUCUAAAUAAAAACUGUGUGCAGUCUGCUGCGGCUGCGGCUGUUCUUGCUGGCAGAGAGAGCACUGCACGUACGCUCAGCCUAAGUAUCUGAGAAUUUUUUCUUCAGAGUGCAGCAACAAGUGGCGCCUGAAAGGGACCAAGAGAAUCUACUGGCUCCCAGCUGUGUACCUCACCUCUCAAGCCCAAAAACAGAAAAGGACAUCUGCGCAUUCAGUUAUCAACAUGAUGGUGUCUCUUUGCUCCUGUAACAAGUCACCCAAGGUAUUCUUCACCAAUACCCAGAUGCUCACCACUUCUGUGACAACGCCUUUUCCUGCUAAUAAAAAGAUAAAAGGG